rnacentral:rRNA from 1 species
UACGUAGGGUGCGAGCGUUGUCCGGAAUUACUGGGCGUAAAGAGUUCGUAGGCGGUUUGUCGCGUCGUUCGUGAAAACUUGGGGCUUAACUCCAAGCGUGCGGGCGAUACGGGCAGACUUGAGUACUACAGGGGAGACUGGAAUUCCUGGUGUAGCGGUGAAAUGCGCAGAUAUCAGGAGGAACGCCGGUGGCGAAGGCGGGUCUCUGGGUAGUAACUGACGCUGAGGAACGAAAGCGUGGGGAGCGAGCAGG